UGGGGAAUCUUGGACAAUGGGGGCAACCCUGAUCCAGCCAUGCCGCGUGAGUGAUGAAGGCCUUAGGGUCGUAAAGCUCUUUCGCCUGUGAAGAUAAUGACGGUAGCAGGUAAAGAAACCCCGGCUAACUCCGUGCCAGCAGCCGCGGUAAUACGGAGGGGGUUAGCGUUGUUCGGAAUUACUGGGCGUAAAGCGCACGUAGGCGGACCAGAAAGUUGGGGGUGAAAUCCCGGGGGCUCAACCCCGGAACUGCCUCCAAAACUAUUGGUCUAGAGUUCGAGAGAGGUGAGUGGAAUUCCAAGUGUAGAGGUGAAAUUCGUAGAUAUUUGGAGGAACACCAGUGGCGAAGGCGGCUCACUGGCUCGAUACUGACGCUGAGGUGCGAAAGUGUGGGGAGCAAACAGGAUUAGAUACCCUGGUAGUCCACACCGUAAAACGAUGAAUGCCAGUCGUCGGGUAGCAUGCUAUUCGGUGGCGCAGCUAACGCAUUAAACAUUCCGCCU
rnacentral:rRNA from 1 species